UACGGAGGGGGCAAGCGUUAUUCGGAAUUAUUGGGCGUAAAGGGCGCGUAGGCGGCUAGAUGUGUCAAAGGUGAAAUCCCUCGGCUCAACUGAGGAACUGCCUUUGAAACUGUCUGGCUUGAGGCCGGGAGAGGGUAGCGGAAUUCCCAGUGUAGCGGUGAAAUGCGUAGAUAUUGGGAGGAACACCAGUGGCGAAGGCGGCUACCUGGACCGGUUCUGACGCUGAGGCGCGAAAGCGUGGGUAGCGAUCCGG
rnacentral:rRNA from 1 species